GCGACAUCUGGACACGGCGCGGCGCUGGCGCUGCCGGAGCUGUCGACCCGGCCUGGCGCCGGACUAGGACUAUUUGCCACGACAUUUCAAAGGAUUCCAAGAGAGAAUAUUGGUGUCCAUGCUGUGAUGAUUCCUCAGCUCCUCUCAUCUGAUCUCCGUCCUGGCCCCCAUGACUUUCUUUGUGGUAGUUAGGGUGUGGUAUGUGCCACUGAGGCCCACACCUAUUGCUUGUCCCUUUUGAUGAGAAGAAUAAGCCUCAUUCUGAUUCAACAGCAGAGAUCAAAGAAAAGACUUCUGUUUUCUGGCCACCAGAUAUAUGUUAUCUGUGCUUAAAGAAUUGAAAAACACACAUCAAAGGAGAAUUUUCUUGGAAAGAGAGGGUUCAAGCAUCACUGUUAGGUGUGCUGGAAUCCUUUCCCGAGUCAGUACUGCUUUCUAGAAGAAAACCGGGGAGAUCUAUUUGGAAUGUAUCUAACUCCAAAGAAACCAUCAGAGGUAACAGAUUGGCUUCUCUCACAUGGCAAGAAACAUUGCUGCUAGCACUUCCCGAGUUCUACGUUCUACAACAUCCACCACUGGAUCUUAACAUAGACGUAAGAUCAAAUGCAAUAGCAUGUCAAACAAUGUGUAACUCCAGUUAUACAAACAUUACUGUAUCUCAUUGGGGAUACGAAGCUCUACACACUUGAAGAUGGUGAAGGAAUAUAAAAAUCUAUGUCUCACAGUCCAGACUUGGAGUACAAGUAAUAAGAAGAAUAAAACUUAAUCCCUUAAGUAGAUUCACCAUAAGUUAGCUCAGAGCAAUUCCAGUGCAAGUAUGGUCUGUGAUCCAGUAGUAUCUUACAGACAGCAAGUUGAACAUUGUGGGAUGCAUGAGCUAUUGAGGCCUUUGCAGCUUUCUGCUACAUGGAGGCUAGGGCCAGAGUCAAGAUUUAUGCUUUGCAGCACACUGGUCAGCUGUUUUUGCAAAUCAGAUUAAAUGAUUUUUAAAUGAGGCUGAGAGCAUGGGAGAUACUAAUGUGUGUUUCCUUGUGAGCUACUGCAUAAGUUAGGAAAUUGAAAUACAGAAAGAUGAAAAGUGAUUUGCCCAAGCAUAUAGAUCAAAGCUGUGGCAGAACCAGGACUGGAACCUAUAUCUCUCUACUAAUGGUUUUUUUAAAAAAAUAACCUUGUUUCAAAAAUAUUAAAAAGUCACAAGAAAGGUAAACAUGUGGAUAAACAAAAUGAAGAAAA
ensembl:lncRNA CDKN2B-AS1 CDKN2B antisense RNA 1